GAUGAACGCUAGCUACAGGCUUAACACAUGCAAGUCAAGGGGCAGCAGGAUCUAGCAAUAGAUUGCUGGCGACCGGCGCACGGGUGAGUAACACGUAUCCAACCUGCCGAUAACUCGGGGAUAGCCUUUCGAAAGAAAGAUUAAUACCCGAUGGUAUAAUCAGACCGCAUGGUUUGAUUAUUAAAGAAUUUCGGUUAUCGAUGGGGAUGCGUUCCAUUAGGCAGUUGGUGAGGUAACGGCUCACCAAACCUUCGAUGGAUAGGGGUUCUGAGAGGAAGGUCCCCCACAUUGGAACUGAGACACGGUCCAAACUCCUACGGGAGGCAGCAGUGAGGAAUAUUGGUCAAUGGACGCGAGUCUGAACCAGCCAAGUAGCGUGAAGGAUGACUGCCCUAUGGGUUGUAAACUUCUUUUAUAUGGGAAUAAAGUUUUCCACGUGUGGAAUUUUGUAUGUACCAUAUGAAUAAGGAUCGGCUAACUCCGUGCCAGCAGCCGCGGUAAUACGGAGGAUCCGAGCGUUAUCCGGAUUUAUUGGGUUUAAAGGGAGCGUAGGUGGACAGUUAAGUCAGUUGUGAAAGUUUGCGGCUCAACCGUAAAAUUGCAGUUGAUACUGGCUGUCUUGAGUACAGUAGAGGUGGGCGGAAUUCGUGGUGUAGCGGUGAAAUGCUUAGAUAUCACGAAGAACUCCGAUUGCGAAGGCAGCUCACUGGACUGCAACUGACACUGAUGCUCGAAAGUGUGGGUAUCAAACAGGAUUAGAUACCCUGGUAGUCCACACAGUAAACGAUGAAUACUCGCUGUUUGCGAUAUACAGUAAGCGGCCAAGCGAAAGCAUUAAGUAUUCCACCUGGGGAGUACGCCGGCAACGGUGAAACUCAAAGGAAUUGACGGGGGCCCGCACAAGCGGAGGAACAUGUGGUUUAAUUCGAUGAUACGCGAGGAACCUUACCCGGGCUUAAAUUGCAUUUGAAUAAUCUGGAAACAGGUUAGCCGCAAGGCAAAUGUGAAGGUGCUGCAUGGUUGUCGUCAGCUCGUGCCGUGAGGUGUCGGCUUAAGUGCCAUAACGAGCGCAACCCUUAUCUUUAGUUACUAACAGGUCAUGCUGAGGACUCUAGAGAGACUGCCGUCGUAAGAUGUGAGGAAGGUGGGGAUGACGUCAAAUCAGCACGGCCCUUACGUCCGGGGCUACACACGUGUUACAAUGGGGGGUACAGAAGGCAGCUACCUGGUGACAGGAUGCUAAUCCCAAAAGCCUCUCUCAGUUCGGAUCGAAGUCUGCAACCCGACUUCGUGAAGCUGGAUUCGCUAGUAAUCGCGCAUCAGCCAUGGCGCGGUGAAUACGUUCCCGGGCCU
rnacentral:rRNA from 1 species